AAGAAGCGCGAGGCUGAGUUCCAGAAACUCCGUCGUGACCUGGAGGAGUCCACUCUGCAGCAUGAAGCCACUGCUGCUGCUCUCCGUAAGAAGCAGGCUGACAGCGUUGCUGAGCUGGGAGAACAGAUUGACAACCUCCAGCGUGUCAAGCAGAAGCUUGAAAAGGAAAAGAGUGAAUACAAGAUGGAGAUUGACGACCUGUCCAGCAACAUGGAGGCUGUUGCCAAAGCAAAGGGAAAUCUUGAAAAGAUGUGCCGUACUCUUGAGGACCAACUUAGUGAACUGAAGACCAAGAAUGAUGAAAAUGUUCGUCAAAUCAAUGACUUGGG